AGAGAGGUAAAUCAUGAGCUCAGACCUAUCU
rnacentral:piRNA from 1 species